rnacentral:rRNA from 1 species
UACGUAGGUGGCAAGCGUUUGUCCGGAUUUACUGGGCGUAAAGAGCGCGCAGGCGGUCGUUCAAGUCGCGUGUGAAGCCCCCGGCUCAACUGGGGAGGGUCACGCGAUACUGAUCGACUCGAAGGCAGGAGAGGGUAGUGGAAUUCCCGGUGUAGUGGUGAAAUGCGUAGAUAUCGGGAGGAACACCAGUGGCGAAGGCGACUACCUGGCCUGUUCUUGACGCUGAGGCGCGAAAGCUAGGGGAGCAACGGG